GACACAUCCUCUGCCCAGCGCAUCACUGGGAGAGCCUCACCGUGGUAGCAGGUGCAUUCCUGAAAGAUACCUUCCUUAAAGGGCACAGUGACAGUCACGUGCUUCCUUAGAAAGGGGAUUAGUGCUCCAGGUCUUACACUGAUACAGCAAAUGAACAGGGAUGACCAGUCCUAAGAUGUGGGAAAUGCCAGAGCUCGUCCAGCAAAGUCAAGCAGAAUUGCCUCCAAGUAAAAUCAACAAAAACGUACGGAAGCACUGGAAGGUAAACAUCAGCCUAAGCGCUUCUGAGAAACAGGCUUACUUCAGAGUCACCUGGUUCUCCGAGGCUAGGCUGACAGCCUCCAUAAAUCCAUGCUGACACCCUGGCCUCAUCUGAACAACUGGGAACUACAGCUGGGACCACGGCCAUUCUCAUAGGUGGACACAGGACAAAAGCUCUGAGACCAGGGAGUUCCCAUUGUGGCUAAGCGGAAAUGAAUCUGAUGAGCACCCAUAAGGACGUAGAUUUGAUACCUGACCUCGCCUGGUGGGUUAAAGAUCUGACAUUGCCAUGAACUGUGGUGUAGGUCACAGACAUGGCUUGGAUCCUGCGUUGCUGUGGCUGUGGUCUAAGCCAGCAGCCGCAGUUCCGAUUUGACCCCUAGUCUGGGAACCACCAUGUGCUGCGGGUGCGACCCUAAAAAGACAACAACAACAACAACAACAACAACAAAAAAGGCUCUGAGACCCAAGUACGUCCCCACGUUCAUCACUGGCAUCUAGUGCCGAACCGGCUUCCUCCACUCAAGGAUCUCAUGGACUUCUUCACACAAUAAGCACUCCUUCUGGAAGCUCACAUCCACUGCUUUUUUAAAUUGAAGUUUAGCUGAGUUACAAUAUUAUAUUAGUUUCAGGUGUACAAUAUAGUGGUUUGGUAUGUCUAUAGCUUCUACCUCACUUAAAGUUAUCACAAAAUAAUGGCUAUAUUUCUCACGCUGUACAAUGCAUCCUUGUUACUUAUUGUAAACACAGUAGUUUGUAUCUCUUAAUCUCUUACUCCUUUCUUGCCCCUCCUCCCUCCCUCUUCCCACUGGUAACCACUAGUUUGUUCUCCACAUCUGCCAGUCUGUUUCUGUUGUGUUACAUUCACUAGUUCAUUUCUUUCUUUUUCUUUUUUCUUUUUUCUUUUAGAUUUCACAUAUAAGUAAUAACACAGCAGCAUCAUCUACGAUGCCAAGGUAUGGAGGCAACCCAAGUGUCCACCAGCAGAUGAAUGGAUAAAGAAGAUGUGGUAUAUAUGAACAGCAG
rnacentral:lncRNA from 1 species